rnacentral:rRNA from 1 species
GACGAACGCUGGCGGCGUGCUUAACACAUGCAAGUCGAACGGAAAGGCCCUGCUUUUGUGGGGUGCUCGAGUGGCGAACGGGUGAGUAACACGUGAGUAACCUGCCCUUGACUUUGGGAUAACUUCAGGAAACUGGGGCUAAUACCGGAUAGGAGCUCCUGCUGCAUGGUGGGGGUUGGAAAGUUUCGGCGGUUGGGGAUGGACUCGCGGCUUAUCAGCUUGUUGGUGGGGUAGUGGCUUACCAAGGCUUUGACGGGUAGCCGGCCUGAGAGGGUGACCGGCCACAUUGGGACUGCGAUACGGCCCAGACUCCUACGGGAGGCAGCAGUGGGGAAUAUUGCACAAUGGGCGGAAGCCUGAUGCAGCAACGCCGCGUGCGGGAUGACGGCCUUCGGGUUGUAAACCGCUUUCGCCUGUGACGAAGCGGGAGUGACGGUAAUGGGUAAAGAAGCACCGGCUAACUACGUG